CGUCGCUGCCCUCCAAUGCACGAUACCACCAUUACCCCCUUCUACCUUCCUCUUCCCAUCGGUUGCUGAAUACUCCAUCGAAAGCGAUUGCAGUGGCAGGAGGGCGACUUGUCUCUCUUCUUUUUCGGCGAGUGACCAUCGGAGGCUGUUGAGUUGAUUCUCUGCCCGAGUGCCCCCUUCUUCUUCUCGGUCUCCAUUUGGCCUGUGAGUCCAUCUCUUCUCUGUAAUUUUUACUCAGAGUGGAUUGGAUUAAGCCAUGAGUAAUGCAUCCCAAACUGGAGUGAACAUUUGCCUGAGUUUGAGAAACCCAACUCAAAAUUGUAACCUCAAACCUCCUGCUUCAUAAGGUAAUCCCAAACCCAAAAUUCGACAUGAAAGACUUAACUUUUUUGGGUUCUGAAUGAAACAACUGUUCGAUGAGGUUACUAUCGAGUCGUUGGGUUCUAAAUGAGAACAUAUGGUCGAUGAGGUUACCGUUAAUAUAUUUUUUUCAAUCGUUCCAACAAUUUUUUUCUGUCGAUCCCGUUUUAACUAACUAUGCCCCAGCUCGCGCCAUUUAAUGCUGAAUUAGUUUUUUUUAUUUGAAUCGAGGGUGGCAGAUGAGAAUCGCGCGCUUUCAUGGGGGCGAUGGCUUCCACCUUUAAAGCCCAGACAUAUUUGCUUCCCACCUCGUCUUCAUGCCUUAUGCCUGUUCAUUUCUGCAUACCUAUCGAUUUCUAAUAUCCAAACCCAAGAAGAUACAGAAGAUACCCGCCUCUUCAUUGCCCUUCUCCACCACUUUCCCAUCUGUAAAUGAAGAUACCCUGUUCAAGUUCAAGUUUAGACUCAAUCAAUCGCUACCCAUCAUGCACCUACUACUAUCUCGUUUGCGUGAAUCCUCCAUAACUCUUUUAUCUCUUAAAGAGCUCCACGCCCAGAUCGUUAUCAACUCUCUUUCCUCAGAUGAAUUUGUUGCCACCAGACUUGUUAAUACGUAUUCCAAUUUCGGUACUUUGAGCGAUGCCCGCAAAGUCUUCGAUCAAAUAUGUAACCCGACGGUCUUCCUAUGUAAUGCCAUGAUGAGUGGGUAUCUUAAAAAUGAGCUUUCCAUGGAGACCCUUGAAUUGUAUCGGAUGAUAAUAUCCCGUGGUUUAAAAACCAAUGGUUGCACCUCUACUUUGGCACUCAAGGCAUGCACCAGCUUGUUGGAUUUUGAAAUGGGUAAUAAAAUAAUGGAAGACGCAGUGAAUGAUGGUCUGGUGAAUAAUCGGUUCUUUGGGAGUUCGGCGAUAAGCUUCUUGGUGAAACUUGGCAACAUUGAGGAAGCUCGAAGGGUGUUCGACGAAAUGCCCCAUAAAGAUGUUGUUUGUUGGAAUUCAAUGAUUGGAGGAUAUUUGCAGUUGGAUUGCCUAGAUAAGGCUUUAGAUUUGUUUUUCAAGAUGUGGGUUUCUGGGAUUUUACCAACUGCAGUAACUAUCUCAAACUUGAUCCAGGUGUGUGGAGGAAUAAAAAAUUUAGAACUUGGGAAAUGCAUUCAUUCAUUUGUGAUUGGAUUGGGGUUAAAUGGUGAUGUUUUGGUUCUUACCUCUUUGGUUGAUAUGUAUGGUAAAAUUGGUGACACUGAAAGUGCUCGGCGGGUCUUUGAUAGAAUGUCCUCAAGGACUUUGGUUUCAUGGAAUGCCAUGCUUUCAGGGUAUGUGCAGAAUAAAUUAAUUUUUGAAUCAUUUGAGCUCUUCCAUCUAUUCACAUUGAAUGGCAUUGUAUUUGACUCAGCUACAAUUCUUAGUCUCUUUCAGAUCUGUGCUCAGCUAGCUUGUCUGAAAGGUGGGAAAAUCCUUCAUGGUUGUGCUUUUAGAAGAGGCUUUCAAUUGAAUCUCAUUGUGUCGACUGCAGUUGUCGAUCUGUAUGCUAAAUGUGGUGCUUUAAAACAAGCAACUUUUGUUUUUAACGGGAUGAAGGAGAGGAAUGUGAUCUCUUGGACAGCAUUGUUGGUUGGACUGGCACAAAAUGGCCAUGCGGAGGAUGCACUGAAAUUAUUUAGCCAGAUGCAAGAGGAGGGAAUUGCUGCAAAUUCUUUCACUCUUGUUGGUUUGAUCCAUGCUUGUGCCCAUUUGGGAUCUCUGAAGAAAGGAAAGAGUGUUCAUGCCCAUUUGUUACGGCGUGGAAUUGUGUUUGAUGUAGUUAACAUGACAGCCCUCAUUGAUAUGUACGCCAAGUGUGGAACCAUAGACUCUGCAGAGCGAUUAUUCAACAACGGCUGCAUACCCAAUGAUGUUGUCCUGUGGAAUUCUAUGAUAAAUGGUUACGGCAUACAUGGCAAUGGAUAUCAAGCUAUUAGAGUCUUUAAUCAGAUGAAAGAGGAAGGAGUCCAACCAAAUGAAACUACCUUCAUUUCUCUUCUGUCUGCUUGUAGUCACUCAGGAAUGGUCAGAGAGGGGAUGCAUUUGUUCCAGAUCAUGUCCACAGACCAUGGCAUUUCUCCUAGGGAAAAGCACUAUGCUUGCUUGGUGGAUCUUCUGAGUAGAGCAGGCUGUCUUGAAGAAGCUGAAGACUUGGUCAAACAAAUGCCAUUUGAACCGGGCAACCUUGUUCUUCAAUCUUUGCUGAGUGGAUGCCGAACUCAUAAGAACAUUGCUAUUGGUAUCCGAACUGCAGAUAAAUUGCUUAGUUUAGAUGCUAUGAACCCUGGAAUUUACAUUGUGUUAUCAAAUAUAUAUGCUGAGGGAGGGAGGUGGAGUGAAGUAGAUUAUGUUAGAGAUCUUAUGAGGAAGAAAGGGCUGAGGAAAACUCCUGGAUACAGCUUGACUGAAAUAGGAAAUCGGGUCCAUGCAUUUUUUGCGGGGGAUGAUUCACAUCCAUACUGGCCAGAAAUUUAUCGCAUGUUGGAGAAUUUGAGAAUACAGUUAGAAUCAUUAGGUUACAUGCCAGACACUAGUUGUGUGCUUCGUGACAUUGACGAGCAGGUGAAAGUGAAGCUUCUGUGGGGCCAUAGUGAGAGAUUAGCAAUUGCAUUUGCACUUAUAAAUACCCCAGCCGGGAGCUUGAUAAGGAUCACUAAGAAUCUUCGUGUUUGUAAUGACUGUCAUACAGUGACAAAGUAUAUUUCGAAGAUUGUUAGGAGGGGUAUCAUUGUCAGAGACGCUAACCGUUUUCAUCAUUUCGUAGAUGGGCGCUGCUCUUGUGGUGAUUACUGGUGAUGCUUAUUCACUAAGAAGAGAUUGACCCCUAAUUGCUAAAUAUUUCUCCAUUUUGUCUGUGGAUGAUAACAUGAAGCUGGAGUUAAUUCAAUAAACAGCGCUACAAAGCAUCCAUCCUUUUGCCCAGAGUUAAAUUUAACCAGUAAAUGGAGGUCGGAGAGAUGUCAGAGCAAAAAUAUCUGAUGCCAGAUAACUUGGUUCCAUAUCAUUUCCAAGCUCAUCUUGAAGUUGCCCAUGGACGGAAUUCAGAUUGAUUCCUGGGCACUGGAACCACGGCUGACAUCAUGAGCAGCACCACAGUUCCAGUGUGAGAAAUGCCUCCUUAUAUGAACUGCGUGGCCUACCGGUUAUAGAGCCUUAGACAAGUAUAAAGGGAUUGAAGUCACCUGGAACCAAGUCAAGCUUUAUGAUUUCCUGCAAAGAGCCCUCAAGAUCUUGAGAGGCUGUACUGUGAAAUCCAUCUCUUCAAGACAUUGAAGCACAAGAACACCAUGAAGUUCUCUACUUCUUGGGUUGAUACUGCGAACAGAAACAUUAACUGUGUAACCAAGAUGUUCAGUUCUUGGACUGUGAGGCAGUAGUUAUGUUUGA